GUGGGGAAUCUUGCGCAAUGGGCGAAAGCCUGACGCAGCCAUGCCGCGUGAAUGAUGAAGGUCUUAGGAUUGUAAAAUUCUUUCACCGGGGACGAUAAUGACGGUACCCGGAGAAGAAGCUCCGGCUAACUUCGUGCCAGCAGCCGCGGUAAUACGAAGGGGGCUAGCGUUGCUCGGAAUUACUGGGCGUAAAGGGCGCGUAGGCGGACAGCUUAGUCAGAGGUGAAAGCCCAGGGCUCAACCUUGGAAUUGCCUUUGAUACUGGCUGGCUGGAGUGUGGGAGAGGUGAGUGGAACUCCGAGUGUAGAGGUGAAAGUCGUAGAUAUUCGGAAGAACACCAGUGGCGAAGGCGACUCACUGGCCCAAUACUGACGCUGAGGCGCGAAAGCGUGGGGAGCAAACAGGAUUAGAAACCCCAGUAGUCC
rnacentral:rRNA from 1 species